rnacentral:rRNA from 1 species
CCUACGGGAGGCAGUAGUGGGGAAUAUUGGGCAAUGGGCGCAAGCCUGACCCAGCAACGCCGCGUGAAGGAAGAAGGCUUUCGGGUUGUAAACUUCUUUUCUCAGGGACGAAGAAAGGGACGGUACAUGAGGAAUAAGCCACGGCUAACUACGUGGCAGCAGCCGCGGUAAUACGUAGGUGGCAAGCGUUAUCCGGAUUUAUUGGGUGUAAAGGGCGGGUAGGCGGGAGCGCAAGUCCGAUGUGAAAACUCACGGCUCAACCCUGGGGCGGCAUUGGAAACUGGGUUUCUUGAGUGCAGGAGAGGAAAGUGGAAUUCCGUGUGUAGCGGUGAAAUGCGUAGAGAUAUGGAGGAACACCUGUGGCGAAGGCGAAUUGCUGGACAGUAACUGACGCUGAGGCGCGAAAGCGUGGGGAGCAAACAGGAUUAGAUACCCUGGUAGUC